rnacentral:rRNA from 1 species
UACGUAGGGGGCAAGCGUUGUCCGGAAUCAUUGGGCGUAAAGAGCGUGUAGGCGGUUCAGUAAGUCUGCUGUGAAAGUCCAGGGCUCAACCCUGGGAUGCCGGUGGAUACUGCUGGGCUAGAGUACGGAAGAGGCGAGUGGAAUUCCCGGUGUAGCGGUGAAAUGCGCAGAUAUCGGGAGGAACACCUAUUGCGAAGGCAGCUCGCUGGGACGUUACUGACGCUGAGACGCGAAAGCGUGGGGGAGCAAACAGG